rnacentral:rRNA from 1 species
AGAAUCAACGCUGGCGGCGUGCCUAACACAUGCAAGUCGCACGAGAAAGGGACUUCGGUCCUGAGUACAGUGGCGCACGGGUGAGUAACACGUGAAUAAUCUACCUCCGAGUGGGGGAAUAACUGAGAGAAAUCUUAGCUAAUACCGCAUAACACUUACGAGUCAAAGCAGCAAUGCGCUUGGAGAGGAGUUCGCGGCAGAUUAGUUAGUUGGCGGGGUAAUGGCCCACCAAGACGAUGAUCUGUAUCCGGCCUGAGAAGGCGCACGGACACACUGGAACUGAAACACGGUCCAGACUCCUACGGGAGGCAGCAGUGGGGAAUUUUGCGCAAUGGGGGAAACCCUGACGCAGCAACGCCGCGUGGAGGAUGAAAUCCCUUGGGAUGUAAACUCCUUUCGAUAGGGAAGAUAAUGACGGUACCUAUAGAAGAAGCCCCGGCUAACUUCGCGCCAGCAGCCGC